rnacentral:rRNA from 1 species
GACGAACGCUGGCGGCGUGCCUAAUACAUGCAAGUAGAACGCUGAAGGAGGAGCUUGCUUCUCUGGAUGAGUUGCGAACGGGUGAGUAACGCGUAGGUAACCUGCCUGGUAGCGGGGGAUAACUAUUGGAAACGAUAGCUAAUACCGCAUAACAGUAGAUGUUGCAUGACAUUUGCUUAAAAGGUGCAAUUGCAUCACUCCCAGAUGGACCUGCGUUGUAUUAGCUAGUUGGUGGGGUAACGGCUCACCAAGGCGACGAUACAUAGCCGACCUGAGAGGGUGAUCGGCCACACUGGGACUGAGACACGACCCAGACUCCUACGGGAGGCAGCAGUAGGGAAUCUUCGGCAAUGGACGGAAGUCUGACCGAGCAACGCCGCGUGAGUGAAGAAGGUUUUCGGAUCGUAAAGCUCUGUUGUAAGAGAAGAACGAGUGUGAGAGUGGAAAGUUCACACUGUGACGGAAUCUACCAG